GCCAGAUGUGGUGGUGCAUGUCUGUAAUCCCAGCGGCUCAGGAGGCUGAGGCAGGAGGAUUGUGAGUUCAAAGCCAGCUUCAGCAACUUAGCGAGGCCCUAAGCAAGUCAAUAAGACCCUGUCUCUG
rnacentral:sRNA from 1 species